UAGAGUUUGAUCCUGGCUCAGAACGAACGCUGGCGGCGUGGAUAAGACAUGCAAGUCGAACGCUAAUUUGGCUGUAGCAAUACAGUCAAGUUGGAGUGGCGCAAGGGUGCGUAACACGUGGGUAAUUUGCCGUGAAGUUGGGGAUAACUCGCUGAAAGGCGAGCUAAUACCGAAUGUGAAAAUCGGGAGGCAUCUUCUGAUUUUUAAAGUUGGGGACCGUAAGGCCUGACGCUUCACGAUAAGCCCGCGGCCUAUCAGCUAGUUGGUGAGGUAACGGCUCACCAAGGCUAAGACGGGUAGCUGGUCUGAGAGGACGACCAGUCACACUGGAACUGAGACACGGUCCAGACACCUACGGGUGGCAGCAGUCGAGAAUUUUUCUCAAUGGGCGAAAGCCUGAAGGAGCGACGCCGCGUGGGGGGAUGAAGGGCUUCGGCCCGUAAACCCCUGUCAUUUGCGAACAAACCUUACGAUCUAACAAGUCGUGAGCUGAUUGUAGCGAAAGAAGAAGGGACGGCUAACUCUGUGCCAGCAGCCGCGGUAAUACAGAGGUCCCAAGCGUUGUUCGGAUUCACUGGGCGUAAAGGGUGCGUANGUGGCAAGGUAAGUUUGAUGUGAAAUCUCCGGGCUUACCCCGGAAACUGCAUUGAAUACUAUCUCGCUUGAGAGUUGGAGGGGAGACUGGAAUACUUGGUGUAGCAGUGAAAUGCGUANAUAUCAAGUGGAACACCAGUGGCGAAAGCGAGUCUCUGGACAACUUCUGACACUGAGGCACGAAAGCUAGGGGAGCAAACAGGAUUAAAUCCCCUGNUAAUCCUAACCGAAACGGUGCAUAUUGCUGUAAAAGGAACCAACCCUUUUUUGCGUACC
rnacentral:rRNA from 1 species